AUUGAACGCUGGCGGUAGGCUUAACACAUGCAAGUCGAGCGGGGUGAUGGUGCUUGCACUAUCACUUAGCGGCGGACGGGUGAGUAAUGCUUAGGAAUCUGCCUAUUAGUGGGGGACAACAUCUCGAAAGGGAUGCUAAUACCGCAUACGUCCUACGGGAGAAAGCAGGGGAUCACUUGUGACCUUGCGCUAAUAGAUGAGCCUAAGUCGGAUUAGCUAGUUGGUGGGGUAAAGGCCUACCAAGGCGACGAUCUGUAGCGGGUCUGAGAGGAUGAUCCGGCACACUGCGACUGAGACACGGCCCAGACUCCUACGGGAGGCAGCAGUGGGGAAUAUUGGACAAUGGGGGGAACCCUGAUCUAGCCAUGCCGCGUGUGUGAAGAAGGCCUUAUGGUUGUAAAGCACUUUAAGCGAGGAGGAGGCUCUUUUGGUUAAUACCCAAGAUGAGUGGACGUUACUCGCAGAAUAAGCACCGGCUAACUCUGUGCCAGCAGCCGCAGUAA
rnacentral:rRNA from 1 species